ACAACUGUGUAUUCCAUCGUUGGGGUCAUGUUCUUAUUGUUUCUACGUGUUUGAAACAGCAAAUGAGAAAAUAAGGACGAAAUAGAAAAGGAAAAAUGCCAUGUAAACGCCAUAUAUAGAUUUAAACGGACCCAUAGUUGCUAACGAGAAAGAAAUCACUUGAACUGCUGGGAAGGCAAUUCCAGCUCUUCAACUAUCUUGUUGGACGUGACUACGUAUCACAAGGUAAAUAUUGCAAGCAGCUAUUUCACCUAAGGCGGCAUAGUAAAACAUUUUGUAUUUUUAAACGUUUUUUGUUCGGCUAAUGAUCUAUACCUUAACUCUUAUUUGUUUUUUUUUAAUGGCACGCGGCCUAAUGUGAAAAUGCACUUAAAGGAUGCCAGUCUAUUUGAUAGGAUACUGCAACAGCGAAUUACUGAGAAUGUGAUGUUCCACCUUUCUCCCUUUUUCUUUGCCGGAACGCCAGUCCAUUAACAACAUCUUCAGGGCACAGUACGCUGUAUAGCACAAAAAGUUCAACGCCCAGAAGGCUGUUCGUUAAGAUUUUCUAAGUAUUCAUGUUUGGCCAAAAACGCUGCACGCGUAAUGGAGAAAUGGACCGAAAAAGAGGAAGCAGGAGCUGGCCGCGUUCGAGCGCGUUGCUACGCGAACGGGCUCGAACACUAGACGCUCGAGAAACGCAUGAGCUAGAAUCGCGUUUCCACGCGCAGUCGUUCGGAAGGCACACCGAGACAACCCUGUAGGCAACGUCGCUGCCCCGAGGCUGCCAUCUCAGGCCGCCUCAACGGUGGUGUGCUGGCUUUAGUGGUUCCUGGUGGCAAGCUACCGCAGGAUGACCCCGGUACUUCGCUCAAGGCGGCCCCGUUUCGGUAGUGCAACCGGCUGUCUCGCGGUUUCUCCCUCCACCAGGCAAGGCAGGUCCUGCAGCACUUCAUCUGCGACGGGGAGAGGUUCUGGUUCAUCGGCGUUCCAUCGGCGACAAGUAUUCAACAUUGGCUCGAGGCGACUACCUGAUGGACUUCGCCGUCAUCCUGAAGCAGACAGGCGUGCUGCGCCAUCAGACGCCCCGUUGAAACGCCGUCGACCCGACUACUGUUCACGCACACCACGACACUGAAGCCGGACAACACAUCCCUCCUGGCCUCACCGGCGGGGCGUGGGUAUUGCCCUCUGCCUGGAGGAGCUGACUCGGCCACCAGCUUUUUGAUGGCCGUGUUCGCGCUCGCGCCUGUAGUCUCCUCGGCCACCAAGGUACAAGGCCAGUGCUUUGGAGGUCACGACAGCCACACUGGAGAGCGCACAGGCUUAAGUGGUCACGGCGCUUGCGGAAGCGGGCGAGGGCGAAGCAGGGAGUUAUCGCCAAGAAGUGCCGCCGGCGACGGCUGAUUAACACUCCUUCGCCGCUGGAACACCUCCGAUACCGCUCGCCGAGAAUUCCACCAUUCAUCAGGAGUGUUUCGCCCACGGUGUCAUGAGUCCCCACCGUGCCGCAAUGUCAAGUGUUUUAGCGGUGAAUUGUCCGGCGAGGUUCUAGCUCCUCUUGCUGUGGUGGCGGUAUACCUACGCGUGAUUUCCUGCGUCUAUUUCCCGUAGCGACUAUCGUUCGCGCCAAUUUUUGAUUUUAGCGUAUUUAGGGGCGCCUAUGUAUUUAGGCCGCUAUAUAUUUAUCGAUUUAUGCGUUAUAAUCUUCGUUAACAUUUAUCGUUUAAAUUUCUGCGUAAUAAUUCAUUCGUUUGAAAGAGUUCCGGAAGGUUUGCCAAAGAGUUCCGGAAGGCUUGCCUAAGUGUUUCAGGAGGUUUGCCAAAAUUUCAUUUCAUCUAGCGACCUUCCAAACAACCAUCAACCAAAGCCAGACAUUGCCUGUAAUGAACCUUGCUGUAGGUUUAUUAUAUUCAAUCACGCAGCACAGCCAAUUCGUACUAGGCUAUUUCGUUGUUUUCUUCAUAUUGCGAUGAUUGUUAGCGCCGGCUUUAAACUGUAGCGUAAGUGCCUGUCUAUAUUUUUCCUACAUAUAUAUAUAUUACUCAAUUUAGACGGUUAUGCUAAUUUUAUUCUUGAACAUAUUAAUUUAUGCUGUAUAUUUAUUUUGAAGUGUCCUGGAAGGCUUGCUUGCUUGCUGGGGAGGACUUUUGUUUCCGACCUUCCAAACAAAUGUCAACCAAAGCCAGACGAUUUCUUGCAAAAAGCCUUCAUGUGAGUCUAUCGUACGCCAGUGAAACACGCCAAUCUUGUAUUUGUUGAAUUGAGUCACAAUUUGGCGAACCGAGCUUAUAGGGCGUUAUUGUAUUUGUUCAAGAGCUGCGACGGUUCUAUGUCAUAGUGCUUUAUUGCACAAAAGAAAAUGCGCUUAAGCGCACUUUUUACAGUCGGCACAAAACAUUGAAAGUUCGUAAACUGGGAACAUAUUUUUGUUGUUAAGAGCCAUAUAGUGCAUAUAGCCACUUUGUUUACAAUGUGCACAAUUCAACGGCAUGUGGUGGUAGUUUCCCAAAUUAUGCUUUAGUAUAUCUGGUAAAUAAAUGACAUAUAAAAAGAUACAAUGCGUUCGGUUGUCUUUUUAUUUUGAGGCCCUAUAGCUUAAAACUAUUCCAAUGUUUUUAUUCCAAUCUCCAGACAUUAAAUUUGCGUAACCGCUGACGCAGGCGUCAAGCGGUGACCCGCAGAGCUGCCUGAACUGCCCAAUCAAAUGCUCUCGUUGUUUAUAGGAGAUCACUUUUCUUUGCUUCCGAAACUAAUAAAAUUGCCUACAUUGA